UACGUAGGGUGCAAGCGUUGUCCGGAUUUAUUGGGCGUAAAGGGCUCGUAGGCGGUCUGUUGCGUCGGGUGUGAAAACCCAAGGCUCAACCUUGGAACUGCAUCCGAUACGGGCAGACUUGAGUGUGGUAGAGGAGACUGGAAUUCCUGGUGUAGCGGUGAAAUGCACAGAUAUCAGGAGGAACACCAAUGGCGAAGGCAGGUCUCUGGGCCACAACUGACGCUGAGGAGCGAAAGCGUGGGGAGCAAAUGGAAUUAGAUACUCCAGUAGUCCACGCCGUAAACGAUGGGUGCUAGAUGUGGGGACAACCACCUUGUUCCUGUGUCGACGCUAACGCAUUAAGCACCCCGCCUGGGGAGUACGGCCGCAAGGCUAAA
rnacentral:rRNA from 1 species